ensembl:snRNA U4 U4 spliceosomal RNA
AGCUUUGCGCAGUGGCAGUAUCGUAGCCGAUGAGGUUUAUCCGAGGCGUGAUUAUUGCUGGUUGAAAACUUUACCCAAUACCCCGUCAUGACGACUUGAAAUAUAGUCGGCAAUGGCAAUUUUUGACGGUCUCUAAGGAGA